rnacentral:rRNA from 1 species
GAUGAACGCUGGCGGCGUGCCUAAUACAUGCAAGUCGAGCGAACGGACGAGAAGCUUGCUUCUCUGAUGUUAGCGGCGGACGGGUGAGUAACACGUGGAUAACCUACCUAUAAGACUGGGAUAACUUCGGGAAACCGGAGCUAAUACCGGAUGAUAUUUUGAACCGCAUGGUUCAAAAGUGAAAGACGGUCUUGCUGUCACUUAUAGAUGGAUCCGCGCUGCAUUAGCUAGUAGGUAAGGUAACGGCUUACCAAGGCAACGAUGCAUAGCCGACCUGAGAGGGUGAUCGGCCACACUGGAACUGAGACACGGUCCAGACUCCUACGGGAGGCAGCAGUAGGGAAUCUUCCGCAAUGGGCGAAAGCCUGACGGAGCAACGCCGCGUGAGUGAUGAAGGUCUUCGGAUCGUAAAACUCUGUUAUUAGGGAAGAACAUAUGUGUAAGUAACUGUGCACAUCUUGACGGUACCUAAUCAGAAAGCCACGGCUAACUACGUG